rnacentral:rRNA from 1 species
GACGAACGCUGGCGGCGUGCUUAACACAUGCAAGUCGAAGAUAGUGGCGAACGGGUGAGUAAUACGUGGAUAACCUGCCCUCCUUUUUGGGAUAAGCCUUGGAAACGGGGUCUAAUACCGACUAAAGGGGGAUGGGACUGCGGCCUAUCAGCUUGUUGGUGGGGUGAUGGCCUACCAGGGCGGUGACGGUUAGCCGGCCUGAGAGGGGGAUCAGCUACAUUGGGCAUGAGAUACGGCCCAGAGUCCUACGGGAGGCAUCUGUGGGGGAUAGUGCACAAUGGGCGAAAGCCUGGUGCAACGACGCCGCGUGGGGGAUGAAGGCGUUCGGGUUGUAAUCCUCUUUCGCGAUCGAACGGGUGGGUGGAGAGGAAGCGCCGGCGAACUCCGCGCCAGCAGCCGCGGUAAUAC